rnacentral:ncRNA from 1 species
AUGACUGUAAAGGGAGAGACCACGUAUGUGGCGCCGAAGGAGCAAGCAAUCAUUUGUGAAUCUCUCAGGCAAAAAGACCUUUAUAGGACG